UGGAAGAAGCGAUGUUGGUGAGGUUCAAUCCGAAGACGGUUUUACGAUUUGUUAUUCGUAAAUAUCGAUCUCAGAUUGAGCCGCGCCAAUAUCACUUUCUAUAAU
rfam:Capsicum annuum cultivar Zunla-1 chromosome 9, whole genome shotgun sequence